rnacentral:rRNA from 1 species
GACGAACGCUGGCGGCGGGCUUAACACAUGCAAGUCGAACGGAAAGGCCCUGCUUUUUUGGUGUUCUCGAGUGGCGAACGGGGGAGUAACACGUGAGUAACCUGCCCUUGACUUUGGGAUAGCUUCAGGAAAGGGGGGCUAAUACCGUAUAGCAUCUGCUGCUGGAGGGUGGGGGUUGGAACUUUGAGGCUGGUGGGGCUGGACGCGCGGCUUAUCAGCUUGUUGGUGGGGUAGGGGUUUACCAAGGCUUUGACGGGUAGCCGGCAUGGGAGGGUGACCGGGCACAUUGGGCCUACGGUAGGCACCAGACGGGUAUGGGAGACAAUGGGGGGAAAUCUUGCCCAGUGGGACCAAGCCUGAUGAGGAAGCGCCGCGUGCGGGAUGCCGGCCUUCGGGUUGUAAACCGCUUUAGCCUGUGACGACGCGUGAGUGACGGUACCGGGUAAAGAAGCACCGGCUAACUACGUG